rnacentral:lncRNA from 1 species
ACAAUCUUCACAAGAUUGAGAGAAGAAGUUGAUUACGUAUCAGACACCCUCAAGUGCAGGUUGAUUAAUCAGUCAAUGCGCACAGAUUCUUGCUCAUCAAGCAAUCACCAAAGAAUGAACACCUCGGUCUUUCUUGAUGGAUUCUUGGAGCUUUAGCACGUUCUACCAGAGAUCAAUAAUCUGAAAAGAUUAAAUCAAUACGUUAGAAUCACAAAAGUCUGCAGAAAUCAAAUUCGCGUCUAUGUAUAGUUUUUCAGAAAACUG